CUGAAUCUUUUGUGUAAACAAUAUGCAAUAUGGCGGCAAACUUGGCUGAUGAGCUCUGUGUUGGGUCUGUAACAACGGGGCUACAGUGGAUCAGAGCUUGAGCUGACUGGGAAGCAGACUAUUCAUACAUUAGGAAAAGAAAACACUGUUGUACAAGACACAAUCAAAGAAGAUGGAGGCUCAUCUGUAAAUCAAGAACUCACAGUUCAUAGGAUACCUUUCAGCAGUUAUUCACAAACAUCUGAUGUUGUAAAUCCAAGCACAAAUACAGAUGAUUUUGAUCAGAUUAUAAAUACGCAAGUGUCCAUUAAUUCACAAGGCAGCCUCUGGUUACCAAGCAGUCAAGAUAC